GCCCGGUUAGCUCAGUCGGUAGAGCAUGAGACUCUUAAUCUCAGGGUCGUGGGUUCGAACCCCACAUUGUUCG
rnacentral:tRNA from 1 species